rnacentral:rRNA from 1 species
CCUACGGGAGGCAGCAGUGGGGAAUAUUGGACAAUGGGCGAAAGCCUGAUCCAGCAAUACCGCGUGUGUGAAGAAGGCCUGAGGGUUGUAAAGCACUUUCAAUAGGGAGGAAUACCUUGAGGUUAAUACCCUUAAGACUGACAUUACCUAUAGAAGAAGCACCGGCUAACUCCGUGCCAGCAGCCGCGGUAAU